GACGAACUCUGGCGGCGUGCUUAACACAUGCAAGUCGAACGGUAAGGCCCCAGCUUGCUGGGGUACACGAGUGGCGAACGGGUGAGUAACACGUGGGUGACCUGCCCUGCACUUCGGGAUAAGCCUGGGAAACUGGGUCUAAUACCGGAUAGGACCGCACCGUGAGGGUGUGGUGGAAAGUUUUUUCGGUGUGGGAUGGGCCCGCGGCCUAUCAGCUUGUUGGUGGGGUAAUGGCCUACCAAGGCGGCGACGGGUAGCCGGCCUGAGAGGGUGGACGGCCACAUUGGGACUGAGACACGGCCCAGACUCCUACGGGAGGCAGCAGUGGGGAAUAUUGCACAAUGGGCGGAAGCCUGAUGCAGCGACGCCGCGUGGGGGAUGACGGCCUUCGGGUUGUAAACUCCUUUCACCAUCGACGAAGGGUUUCUGACGGUAGAUGGAGAAGAAGCACCGGCUAACUACGUGCCAGCAGCCGCGGUAAUACGUAGGGUGCGAGCGUUGUCCGGAAUUACUGGGCGUAAAGAGCUCGUAGGUGGUUUGUCGCGUCGUCUGUGAAAUUCCGGGGCUUAACUCCGGGCGUGCAGGCGAUACGGGCAUAACUUGAGUACUGUAGGGGAGACUGGAAUUCCUGGUGUAGCGGUGAAAUGCGCAGAUAUCAGGAGGAACACCGGUGGCGAAGGCGGGUCUCUGGGCAGUAACUGACGCUGAGGAGCGAAAGCAUGGGGAGCGAACAGGAUUAGAUACCCUGGUAGUCCAUGCCGUAAACGGUGGGCGCUAGGUGUGGGUUUCCUUCCACGGGAUCCGUGCCGUAGCUAACGCAUUAAGCGCCCCGCCUGGGGAGUACGGCCGCAAGGCUAAAACUCAAAGGAAUUGACGGGGGCCCGCACAAGCGGCGGAGCAUGUGGAUUAAUUCGAUGCAACGCGAAGAACCUUACCUGGGCUUGACAUAUACAGGAUCGCGCCAGAGAUGGUGUUUCCCUUGUGGCUUGUAUACAGGUGGUGCAUGGUUGUCGUCAGCUCGUGUCGUGAGAUGUUGGGUUAAGUCCCGCAACGAGCGCAACCCUUGUCUUAUGUUGCCAGCACGUUGUGGUGGGGACUCGUAAGAAACUGCCGGGGUUAACUCGGAGGAAGGUGGGGAUGACGUCAAAUCAUCAUGCCCCUUAUGUCCAGGGCUUCACACAUGCUACAAUGGUCGGUACAGUGGGUUGCCAGUCCGUGAGGGCGAGCUAAUCCCGCAAAGCCGGUCUCAGUUCGGAUCGGGGUCUGCAACUCGACCCCGUGAAGUCGGAGUCGCUAGUAAUCGCAGAUCAGCAACGCUGCGGUGAAUACGUUCCCGGGCCU
rnacentral:rRNA from 1 species